rnacentral:lncRNA from 1 species
CUUUUCAUGAAAGCAUGCUAUAGCCUGAGAGAUGAAUUCCUCUGCUGACAACCAAAUGUGUAUUCUGGAAUGGUGUUUUGGAGGAAUUGGUGUGAUUUAUCAAGGGAUCCACAAAGCUAAGAACUAUCUUCCAGGCAAGAAACAUCUGGAAUACCAAUGCAUCUCAAGCCUUUUGGGAUGGCCUGGGAUUCUCCACCAGAAAAGAAAGGGUCCUGGGCCCAGUUGGAGACAUUUUUGGGCAGAACACAAAGAUAUGGAUUCAGAUUAUUCUGAUCAAGGAGUAGGCCAACUUCAAAAAGUGAUCAACACCAUCAAAACCAACCCUGAAGACAGAAGAAUCAUCAUGUGUGUUUGGAAACCAAAAGAUUUUCCUCUGAUGGUGCUGCCUCCAUGCCAUGCCUUCUGCCAGUUCUACAGUGAAUGGGGAGCUGUCCUGUUGGCUGUACCAAAGGUCAGGAGUCAUGGGCUUGGGCGUGCCUUUCAACAUCGAGUGCUAUGCCCUGCUUACCUUACAUGAUUACACACAUCACGGACCUGCAGUCAGGUAACUUUAUGCAUUCUUUGGGAAUGCACAUUUUUACCUGAAUCACAUUGAGCCACUGAAAAUUCAGCUUCUACAAGAACCAAGAGCUUUCCCAAAGCUCAAAAUCCUUCAAAAUGUUGAGAAAAUUGACAACUUCAAACUUGAAGACUUUCAGAUUGAAGAGUACAAUCUACAUCCAACUAUUAAAGUGGAGAUGGUUGUUUAGAGUGCUUUUAAAGGAGUUGGAAAGGUCUUGUCCCUGUAGGGGUUGGGCCUGAUACCCAGGUGAAAGUUUUUUCCUAAAGAAAAAGGAACUAGGUCAAAAAUCUGUUCAUGACUUACCAAUUAUUCUUCAUUAGCUUUUAAAUAUGUUACCAUUGGCAGACAUAACUGCUAUUGUUUUAGUAAUCAUGUUUUGUUAACUGAGGGAGCAUGAAAGUCCUGAGAGAAGAAAGUGGAAAUUUAUAUACUUUUAGCAAAAAUAUAUAGUAUUUCAGUCUCUUGGCUUCAUGAAGACUGGUGAAUUUCAUUAGUUGUAUAAGCUAUUCCCUUCAAUUUUGAAGUAACCCAUCAUUAAUAAUAUAAGAGCUUAUGAUGCUUAUUUUAUAUGUUGAUGUAGUAAAGAUCUAUCUGAAAAAAAGACUUAUUAAAUUGUAUAUAAUAAAAAUAUGCCCUAUAGGAAAGAAAGUAGAACAAAUCAGACAUAACUUUCCUGUGUUCAUAUAUGAAUACACCACCAGGUUAACUCCACACCAUGUUCAACCCCAAGAAUGGGAUCCUAACUAGAUCCCAUUAAGUUAUAAUCCAUGUAUGUAUAAUACAUCAAAAAUACAUUUACUGUCCCAUAUAUCUAAAAAAAUCAAUUAAAAAAGAAGGAUUGCCUUACCAAAAUUAUAUGCCCUGAGAAGGAGAUAUGUCCAUGCCUUUUCCACAUUGUUAACUAAAAACUAUCCUCUGUUUCUCCCCAAAGACUUUGCAAUAUUUCUAUUCUAAGGUAUUAUACAUUUUUAUUUAUGCCCUCCUAUAGAGAAUUCUGUGAAAUUAUUGAUGUAAUUGAUCUCAAGUUGAUUUUAUACAACAGACCCUUUAUUUGCCAACUAUAAUUAUACAAUAAUUUUUAAUGCCUAAAACUUGGAAAAUUAUUUCUUUCUGUGGAUCUCAAAUAUUUACAAAGUACCCAUUUACCCAUUGCACAGUCUUAACCAUGGUCAGAAGAAAUCCCCCAUGGGCAAUAGAUGUUUCUCUCAGUAGCAUGUUUGAAUCCUUAUGAUAAUGAUGUAGUUGGCAGGCCAUAAUAAUAAUUUAAGUGUACAUAUUCAUGAGCACUUGUGUAGGUAAGUUCAGACCUUAAGUUGUCUCUCCUUUUCAGAGCAGUGGUUCUGGUAUCAGUUCUGUUUUUACCUUUGCUGUGCUGUUUGAGUCUGCCUGAUAUGCCUCCAGUUCCCGAGGCCUUUUACCCCCUACUUCUCUGGCCAGAGACUUAGUUUUUCUCUUCCUUUCUCUGGGUUUUAAAUAUCACAAUUGCUGCCACAGUAAAGCUGUUCCCCAAUGGGAGUUGGACUAAGGCAGGGAUGGGAGAGAGAAGAGGAGAAGCGAAACAACUCAAAGAUUCCUUCCAUGCCUACUAGUAUGCAGGGACCCCUCUACCAGACCUGUGGUGAGAAUAAAGGGGUCUCUCCUUGAGUUUUUAUGGCAUGUUUCUGUCAUUUAAUGCCAUCUCAGAUCAAAGCUGGAAUACAAAGGACAGGAAAACAAAGAAGAAAAAACCCAUUACAAAUCGUUAUUCAAGUUUAAUUUUCAGUUCCCCAAUAAUUUCUUCCACUCCAUCUUGGCUGACACCCGAAGUUUGGGAUCUUUAAGAACACAAAUGAAGGCUAAACAAAGAAUGAAGGUUUAACCAAGGCUCAGCUGAGUAUGACUUGGAAAAUCUGGGUUGCUCAGUUCUGCCGGGCUCCUGCACUCACUCUACGUACCUUGAGGUUGGAGGAGUUUGAGAGUUUUUAUGGUGACACCAGUCUCUUCCUGCUCAGAGCAUGAGUAAAAG